rnacentral:rRNA from 1 species
UACGGAGGGUGCGGGCGUUAUCCGGAAUUACUGGGUUUAAAGGGUGCGUAGGCGGCUGUGUAAGUCAGGAGUGAAAGUUUGCGGCUCAACCGUAAAAUUGCUUUUGAUACUGCACGGCUAGAAUCAGGAUGAGGUCAGCGGAAUGUGGCAUGUAGCGGUGAAAUGCAUAGAUAUGCCAUAGAACACCAAUUGCGAAGGCAGCUGGCUAGACCUGUAUUGACGCUGAGGCACGAAAGCGUGGGGAGCGAACAGG